rnacentral:rRNA from 1 species
UGUUUCGGCUAGGGGGCCAUCCCGGCUUACCAACCCGAUGCAAACUGCGAAUACCGGAGAAUGUUAUCACGGGAGACACACGGCGGGUGCUAACGUCCGUCGUGAAGAGGGAAACAACCCAGACCGCCAGCUAAGGUCCCAAAGUCAUGGUUAAGUGGGAAACGAUGUGGGAAGGCCCAGACAGCCAGGAUGUUGGCUUAGAAGCAGCCAUCAUUUAAAGAAAGCGUAAUAGCUCACUGGUCGAGUCGGCCUGCGCGGAAGAUGUAACGGGGCUAAACCAUGCACCGAAGCUGCGGCAGCGACGUUUAUGCGUUGUUGGGUAGGGGAGCGUUCUGUAAGCCUGCGAAGGUGGCCUGUGAGGGUUGCUGGAGGUAUCAGAAG